rnacentral:rRNA from 1 species
CCUACGGGAGGCAGCAGUAGGGAAUAUUGCUCAAUGGGCGAAACCCUGAAGCAGCAACGCCGCGUGGAGGAUGAAGGUCUUAGGAUCGUAAACCUCUGUUGUUAGAGAAGAUUAUUACGUUUUCUAAUCAACACUCACUUGCCAACACCGUCCCAGCAGGCGCGGUAAUACGGAGGGCGCAAGCGUUACUCGGUAUGACUGGGCGUAAAGAGUGCGUAGGUGGUGUGAUAAGUCAGGCGUGAAAUCCACUUGCUUAACUAGAGAACUGCCUGUGAAACUGGUAAACUGGAGUGUGGGAGAGGUAGGUGGAAUUCCAGGUGUAGGAGUGAAAUCCGUAGAGAUCUGGAGGAACACUCGUGGCGAAGGCGACCAGCUGGAACAUAACUGACGCUGAGGAGCGAAAGCGUGGGUAGCAAACAGGAUUAGAUACCCGUGUAGUC